UCCAACAGAGAGAGAGAGAGAGCGAGAGAGAGAGCAAGCAUUAUCAGAGUGGGAGAGUGUUUUACCACUGUUGACUGUCGGCAGCGUCACUCUUUUGGCAGCAGAGGCACCUCCACUCGUCCGCUCCACACAUGCAGUGUCAACAUACUGACUGAACCUCCUCCACUUCAGCUCAAACUCCACUUCAGUGGAAUACUUCAACAGGACGGCUGCUUAUCUGCCUUUACUCUGGUGGCUUCAAGAGCUUUUCAAAAAGUUCAAUUGUUUUUCCCCCCAUCUCUCAUGGACCAGUUUUAACUCCGAAUAGAAGGUACUUAUUUGCCUCCUACAUCUUCAGUUCAGAUGUGUGGAACGUGUUUAAAAUUCUACAGGACGUACAAGUUUCGGGAUGUGCAUGACUUUCAGGUUGCCUGAAGGAGAGGUGAAACAGAACUGAUGCUGUUGUUCGAGAUUUGGAAAGACAGUGGUAUAAAAUGGAAGAUUGAAUACAACAUCGUCAUGGUAUCGCAAGAUUAGACAAUUCCAGCACCUAGCUAUGCCUCUUUGCUGCUGCUUGUUUCUGAUAUUCAGUUUAAAAAAUUGCAUGCCUUGAUCUCUGAAUACUGAAACAUGGAAAUUCUGAUGAACAUCACUCUACCAACUUAUGUGAACAGCAGUCUACCAAACAAUGCAACUCUGACAGGGGGUGAAGAACAUGAGUUGCAGUCUUUGUUGCUGGUCCUCAUGGUGAUCAUCAUCACCAUUAUCAUUGUGGGUAACCUUCUGGUCAUCAUCGCUAUCGCAUACACCUCCCAGCUGCAGACCACGACGAAUAUCUUCAUCAUGUCAUUGGCAUGCGCUGACCUCAUAAUGGGGGUUCUGGUGGUGCCACUGGCUGCCACAAUUGUCAUAACAGGGAAAUGGCAACUCACCAAGACUUUGUGUGAGUUAUGGACAUCAGUUGAUGUGUUAUGCGUCACUGCCAGUAUAGAGACACUUUGCAUCAUCGCAUUGGAUAGGUACAUUGCAAUCACGCGGCCUCUGCGACAUAAAGUGCUCCUGAAUAAGUGUAGGGCUCGAAUUAUUGUUUGUGUCGUGUGGCUGGUCUCAUCUCUGAUCUCCUUCGUCCCCAUUAUGAAUCAGUACUGGCGUGUGGAUUUUGCCAAUGAUACAAACUUGAUAGAAUGUAACAAGGACCCCAAUUGUUGUGACUUUAUAGCAAAUGUGCCAUUUGUUAUAAUUUCAUCAGUGGUUUCAUUCUACAUCCCUCUACUCAUCAUGAUUUUUGUCUAUGCACGCGUCUUUCUCAUUGCCACACGACAGGUACAGGUAAUCGUCAAAAACCAUUUGAGGUUCCAAAACGAGUGCAUAGGAAAUCAGGUACAGCCGAUGCACCAUGGCAACAACAACUUGCCUUCGACGUGCAAUAACUUCGGAGGAACGACGGCAAGGCGGAAAAAUUCCCGAAGGCGUCCAUCGGUCGUCAAGGAGCACAAGGCCCUCAAGACACUGGGCAUCAUCAUGGGUGUCUUCACACUCUGCUGGCUGCCUUUUUUUGUGGCAAACAUCAUCAAUGUCUUCUAUCGAGAUGUGCCGAACAGGGACAUUUUUCGUUUAUUAAACUGGUUAGGCUACAUCAACUCCGGCCUCAACCCCAUCAUCUACUGUCGAAGCCCAGAGUUUCGUAUUGCCUUCAAGAACCUUCUUGGCUGUCCCUGGUUGCCCUUUCUAAAAAUGAACUUCCUUUUCAAAGGGCUUCGGACUCGAUGCCCCUGCUUCCUGGGGUCUAUGGAGCCAGGAAUGCCUGGAACAUUCCAGAAGACCCCCACAUUGCCUGAAGAAGGGAGCAGCCAGAGCAGCUUCAGGAGCGAGGAGGCAUUGCCAGGACUGCCACACUCCAGUGGCAGCACCUUCUUCAGUGAAUUCUCCGAAGCCGAGGCAGAGUUAGGCAUUUCAGGAAAGGUUUUUCCUAGAAGGGGGAGACACACUUGACUAUCAGAGUACAGGGUUUACAGCAGCUGUUAUGGGGUCUGGGUGAGCAAGCCCUGGAGACAUUUCCUAGCCACAAUGAGGACAUGAUGUUCAAGCUGCUGAACCCACGGCAGACUUCAUGAAAGGAGAAAAAUGUUGCGGUGAAAACUAAAAGAAAGAAGCAGAGAGAAAGGAACAACUUCAAGUCAUUCCGAGCAACUUCAAUCUCUAAACGCUUGAAGCAGUGAGUUCACUGGUGUCAGGUCGCCCAUUUCAACAAACAAAUCACAUUAUUCAGCAUAUAGCUCACCAACCUAUGAGUACAUGGAGUAAAAUUUGAUCAGCCCAGUGAAGUCUGAAGCCCUUUUACGUAAACUGUGUACUUUGUUUUUCGUACACCGUGACCAGGUCUCAAGUGAGCUCCAUUAAACACAGGGCAGCUUGAACAUUAUGUCUAGUACAAUGUAAUAAGACAAAAUGAGCAUUUUGAGUAUUUUUUGGUGCAGUGCGUUAUGAAAGUUGUCCUUGUAGACAUGCAGUAAUUCAAAUAAUGACAGAUGGGAGAUAAUGGCAGUGUGUUUUGUUUAACAGGAAGUCAACAUUUUCCCACUCUGUGCUGCUGAUGGGUACAUUUUGUGUUGCCGGCAGAAACACAUAAAUUAAGCCACAAUGAUUGCUUUGUGUUUCACAGCGCAAUGAGAAAGGGUUGAAAUGCUGUGAAUGUGUAUUGAUAACCUCUCCAUGAGAAAGAGCACUUGUUGCAAUUGUUUUUUUGCGAACAAACAUGCAUUUUUUUAAUAUUAUGGAUUUUGGCAGCAUGAUGUAAUUGCUGUAGAAGCUAAAUAUAUAUGAUUGUCUAUAAAUUUGUUGCUACGACUAAGGAAGUUGUAUGGGUAAGAAUGAGGUGGUUUCUGUAGUGUUUUUUGGCAAGUUUUAGGGCCCCUCUGUUGCUGACACCCCCAGGAGCUGAUAAACUUUAUCACUGAACGCAACACUUCCACCUUUGAGAAGAAGCUGUUUAUGACCUAAACUGAGCAAGCGCAGUCAACGCUCAAAGCGAAAGGCAAGAUAGUCAGCAAACCCUUGACACGAAACUAGAUUAGAGAUUAAUGUUUUUGUUUCGUGUCAGGAUUUCAAAGACUUUAUGAAAAAAAAGUUCAACUAACAAAAGUUAACAGAGCAAAACAAAGUAAAUUAAUUAAUUAAUUGAAAUAUAAAAUAAAUGAAUAAAUAAAGAUGAGGGAGCCACUGGAACCCAAGUUAAAAGGCUUUUAAAAUAAUUAAUUAAUUAUUUAUUUAGCUGACAAAUUAAAUGAUCACUUUUUUAUUUAUUAUUUAAUAUUUAGUAUAAUGAUAUUUACUAUCCGUAUAGUUUUUAUAAAUUAUAAUUAUUUACCAAAACAGCAUGUGUAUCUUUUUGAUUCAUUGAUAUCCCACAACCCUGUGCGUUCUAUUGCAUGGUGGUUAAAUCAAAAACUUUAAAUGUCAUAAGAUGUAAUAAAGGGGGGAUGUCGUGGCUUAGUGGUUAGAGAGUUUGACUCCUAACCCUAGGGUUGUGGGUUUGAAUCUUGGGCCAGCAAUACCACGACUGAGGUGCCCUUGAGCAAGGCAUUGAACCCCGAACUGCUCCCCGGGCGCAGCAAAAAUGAUGCCCACUGCUCCGUGUUCACUGCUGUGUGUGUAUUCACUGCUCUGUGUGUGUUCACUGCUCUGUAAAAGUGAUGGGUUAAAUGUAGAGCACGAAUUCUGAGUAUGGGUCACCAUACUUGGCUGUAUCUCACUUCACUUCAAGAUAAAAGCGUCUGAAUAUUUUCAUUUGGUGAUCAGUUUGUAUGUAAAUGUAUAUUUCUGACUAACUUUUUGCACUUUUGAUGUUAGUUCUAGUGAGAAAUCAGUAUUAUAGUCACCAAAAAUUGUUUUAUUUUGAUUAUUUUAUUGUACAUCAUUAAACUAUUAUGCUGCCUCCGAAGCCUGUCCGAAAAAAUACUGCACGCAAAGUCAUUGCCUGAUUGUGUGAUUCAAUGGGCUGCGUCCAAAGUCUAGUCAGCUGCCUACUAGACUUUUGGACGCAGCCCAUUUAAAAAUAAAAAAUACAAUUCCCUAAGAAUCAUUUCCUUGUUAAUCAAACUUCACGGCUUGUGCUACGUGCAGCAAACACUGGCGUAUUCUUUGAUGAAACCUUUCAUAAAAGGCACUCAAAGUUUUCCAGACUGUUAUAUUAAAUUAUCAUUGCAAAUAAGCUUUUUUGUCGUAUUAGCAAAUAACCUUGCUGUUUAAUUUGGGAUGUGUUUGUUGUUUUUGUUUUGUAUCAUAGUGUUGGUUUGUGCUUGAUCUUUGCAUAUCAUUUGCAAGUAUCAGAGGUCAGUAAACACAGCCAGAAGUGAAGAAAUUACUCCUUCAACACAUUUGCAUACUAAAGUCAAAGUCUGUUUUGAAUGGAGCACGUCCAGUUGUUCUCCACUUGUGCUCAUGCUCGGCCAAAAUAAAUAAAUUGCGUUCACCUAUCCCUGCAAACUUCAUGUUAGACGGAUACUUCAGAAGUAAAGUUUUGUAGGGGAAAAAUCUAAUGAGUUAAUGUAGAUGGAGACUAGAACAUUAUCUAAAUUGUAGAGUAAUAUUUCUCAACGGGACAUUCGGAGAGCUUCGGGGGGUACUGGAAGCAAUAUUUUUGAAAGGGGUGCGUUGAGGUCAUUUGGUUAAAGCGGGUUUACACCAAAGACGUAUGAGCUGAAACUUGCGAAAGAAAAUGGUCUGCAACAUCCUAAAGCCGUCUCUACACUGGAUGCAUCAAACCAAACUAGCACAAGUGCGUGGACUACAUCAGAAAUAUAAUGCUGCAUCAGUUCGAUUUGGUGUGUUCAGUGACAGAAAUGCUGAUUAUAAUGGGAUCUACAGGUGGAUGUGUUUUGACACAACAUGUCGCACCAUCCAAGUCGAGUGUAGUUGCCAGUUUACACCAAUGCUUCUGGACUAGACGGUGUAUCAUUUCCAUUGCAAUGACUCUUUACUUCAGUGUUCACUCAGCUUUCUGUAGUGCAGCAGCCGAACUUACUGCGAAAACAUAGCAUUCAGACACAAAUAAAGCACUAUAUGCUUUUCUCUUGUUCUUGUUUGUGAUAAUUAAUAUGAACGCCCUUUUGUCGUCUGUUUGUUUGGCUGAUGCGGUUGGUUUAAAUGCUACAUUUCUUAAGAGGGAUGAUAAUGAUAUUUCAACUGCAGUCCAAUCAAAUGUCUUUUUGUAUUGCAGAAAAAAGGAACAUACAAAUAAAAACAAUACAAAUUAAAACCACAUAAAAACCAACAAACCAUAGUGCACAGUAAAGUUUUACGUAUAAAGACAAAGUAGCAAAAGAUGAAUGUCAUGUGGCAUUCAACUACAUAUUUUUACAAUUAUACGUCCUAGUGUGUGCUGUUAUUUAUGGGCUAAAUAUUUAUGGGUUUUAGAUGUACACAUAUUAUUUAUAAUAUAUUAUAAAACAUACAAAAUAAAUAGACCUACAAUAUACACCACCAUUACAAAAGUCAGUAAGGGUCAGAUAGAGUUUUUUAAUGAUUUUGAAACAAAUCUCUUGUACAGUAAGCCUUAUCAAUACGAUUACGCUGAAAACUAAAUUUAAUUAAACUUAAAAUAACUCCUUUCUAUUUGAAUAAAUGUAUAAAUGUAUAAAUUCUAAAUCUCCAUUGCUCCAGCUUUCAAUGUCACAUGAUCCAUCAGAAAUCAAGCUGGGUGCUGCUCAAAGAUGAAUUCUUAUUAUUGUUAUAGCUGUUUAUAGCUGCUCAAUAAAAUAUGUUUGGAAAUAU